UGUCGUCAGCUCGUGUCGUGAGAUGUUGGGUUAAGUCCCGCAACNANCGCAACCCUCAUCCUUAGUUACCAUCAGGUAAUGCUGGGGACUUUAAGGAAACUGCCAGUGAUAAACUGGAGGAAGGUGGGGAUGAUGUCAAGUCAUCAUGGCCCUUAUGGAGUGGGCUACACACGUGCUACAAUGGUGGCUACAAUGGGCUGCAAAGUCGCGAGGCUAAGCUAAUCCCUUAAAAGCCAUCUCAGUUCGGAUUGUACUCUGCAACUCGAGUGCAUGAAGUUGGAAUCGCUAGUAAUCGUGGAUCAGCACGCCACGGUGAAUACGUUCUCGGGUCUUGUACACACUGCCCGUCACGCCAUGGGAAUUG
rnacentral:rRNA from 1 species